CUCCUUUCACCUGAUUGCAUUAUUUCCUUUACAUUUUAUUUUUAUUUAUUUAACUCUUUUUCCUUUUUUGCCGACACCCAUAAGCCUCUCUCUCUCUCUCUCUCUCUCUCAUCGCCAAGGCCUAAGCUUCGAUUCUUUCUCUCUUGCUGUCCUUUUCUUUAAUGGCGAUGCCUCUUGCCACGGGCUCCGAUCUCAACCUCAUUAUUGACCACUUCCACUUUUCUUCUUUUUAUUCUUCUUAUUUUCAGUGUCUACGGUAGUCUAACAUGCUCUCUACCUCACUCCAAGCUCGCCUGUAAGCACAACCACACAACAAGAAAUUUCAAUAAUGGCUGGGGAGCCCAGUGCUCUUUCUUUCUGUGUACCUCGUUCAUCGCUUACUGAGUUGCUGUUUCUUUUAUUUUUCCUCGCCUCUAUCUUUGCUUUGCCGCUUCUUGUUCAAUGCAAUACUGAUCCCUCCGAUGUUCAAGCUUUACAGGUCAUUUACACUUCAUUGAACAGUCCUUCGCAGCUAACCAAUUGGAAAAGCAAUGGUGGUGAUCCGUGUGCAGAAUCAUGGAAAGGAGUUACUUGUGAGGGAUCAGCUGUUGUUUCCAUCCAGAUUUCUGGAUUAGGACUCAGCGGGACGAUGGGGUACAUGCUUUCAAACCUUAUGUCACUAAGAACAUUUGAUCUAAGUGACAAUAACAUUCAUGAUUCAAUCCCUUAUCAAUUACCGCCAAAUAUUACAAGCCUAAAUCUUGCGAGAAACAACUUAAGUGGGAAUCUUCCUUAUUCCAUUUCUAGCAUGUUUUCGAUCACUUACUUGAAUGUGAGCCGUAAUUCACUUUCCCAAUCAGUUGGAGAUGUUUUUUCAAAUCUUUCACUUUUCACAACCCUGGAUCUCUCUUUCAACAAUUUUAGUGGAGAUCUUCCCAGUUCCAUUAGUUCAUUGUCCAAUCUUUCAACACUCAAUGUUCAGAACAAUCAACUGACUGGUUCUCUAGAUGUUCUUACGGGUUUGCCUUUGACUACUUUAAAUGUUGCAAACAACCAUUUCAGCGGAUGGAUACCUCAAGAACUUAAUUCAAUUCCAAACUUUAUAUAUGAUGGAAAUUCUUUUGACAAUGGUCCUGCUCCUCCUUCUCCACCAUAUACCCCACCGCCACCUGGUAGAUCUCAUAAUAAUCGUAGUCAUUCAGGAUCAGGCGCACAUUCACCCCCAUCUUCUAAUGGCCAGUCAUCUGAAUCGGAUAAGGGAAUGUCAGUGGGGGCUAUUAUAGGCAUAAUCAUGGGUUGUGUGUUUAUGCUUCUCCUUGCACUUCUUGCUGUUGUUUUUUGCAUUAGAAAAAAUAAAAGGAAGGACACUGGUGUCAUAGUUUCCCAGGGAAGUCGGUCUGCUGGCACAAAUGACAUAAAUAUGGACAUACAAGAGCAGAGAGUGAAAAACAUUGCUGCUGUUACAGAUCUGAAGCCCCCACCUGCUGAGAAAUUGGUAGUUGAGCGGUUACAGGGGAAUUCUGGAUCCAUAAAGAGAAUGAAGUCACCAAUCACUGCUACUUCAUNNNNNNNNUCUCCAAACAGCAACUAAUAGCUUUAGUCAAGAGUUUCUAAUUGGUGAAGGUUCUCUUGGUCGUGUUUACAAAGGGGAGUUUCCUAAUGGAAAGGCAAUGGCUAUUAAGAAGAUCGACAAUGCAGCACUUUCAUUACAGGAG
rnacentral:misc_RNA from 1 species